UCCUUCCCGGGUGUUCUUCACUGCAGUCAGCUCCUCGGAGCGUUUGGUAAGGCCCUCGGUCUUACAACAUUAGUCUUCUUUUGAGGUUAAUGGACCAGAGACAGCCAGAUUGAGUCACUAAAUAGUUUUAAAUAAACUUACUUUUUUUUGUACCGGGGAUCAAAUUUGGGUCCUUGUGCUUGCGCAGCAGGCGGCAGAACCACUGAGCUAAAUCCCCGGCCCUAAACUUGCUUUUUUAACUGUGGUCCAUCUCUACUGGUGACUUUUUCAUUAGGUUGAAUUUGGUAAACAUUUGGAAUUUUUGAUGAAACUCAAAAUUUAGUAUGUUUUAUUUAUUCAUUUAUUUUUUGAGACAAGGUCUUGCUGUGUAGUGCCAGUUGGCUUGGAACUCACUAUGAAGCCCAGGCUGGACUCAAACUCGUGGCGAUCCUCCUGCCUCAGCUUCGCAAGUGCUGGGAUUACAGACAAAGUCUUGCUACGUAGUCCAGGCUGGCCUCAAACCUAUGACGAUUCUCCUGCCUCAGGCUCCAUACCUGACUACCAUCGAUCUCCAUACUUCCUUACUCUAUUUGUUCAUGGCUCUGUUUGUGUGCUGCUAUACGAAGACCACGUUGACAUAAUUAUGCAGACAGUUAACCGGAUGCAAGCAAAAGCAACAUUCUCUGUUUUCAUUUUUGCAUUUUAAACCCAUUAUGCCAAGUGGGUUUAGCACUUUGCCUUUGAACUUUCACUGCCUUGAAGGCCUCAGUCAGAUGCAAUGAGAUUGUAUUCCUGUUCCAUUUCCACUCAAACAUUAAUGCGCAGGAGGGCUCCAAUCAUUCACGUAACGUAAACCUGCUGCUUGCCCAAGCUUGUGCCUCUGUCAGACUCAGAACUCAGAAGCCAGGGGGCGAGGAUGGUUGGUUUCUAUCGCUCUUCCUCUGGGUGCUGUACCUGUUUCCCUUUGUUUUAUCUCUUCUGACUUUUCUUGAAUUGUGGGGUCCAAGUGGUCAGGCUGGGAGCUGCAGGGGAGCUUAUGAACCUGGCGCCAUUUUUAUUUCUCUUUUGACUGUCAAAUGCUCUCAUUCUCAUUUGAAUGCAGUCAUUCAAAUGUAAAGCCCUUGUGAGGAUCUUCUGAGUCCACCGACACACUGCUGAGGGUUGUCCCUGGCAGUUCCCCUAGGAAGGCGCCCCUCCGCCUGGCCCCUUGGGAUGUCUCAGCUGGCAGAUCCAGGUGGUGCACCCCACGCAGAGACUCUCAUCUCUCCAAAUGGGUUUCUGGGUGAGAUCUUUCUCAAGGUGUCUUAAUGGAUGCCUCUCAGUGGGGGCUACAUCAGACUUUCAGAAAGAUUCGCAUUCGCCCAGCUGUUGGAGAAUGACAGUUCCCUUCAAUACUGGGCUUCUCUCCUUGCUCUGCCAUCCAACAACUCACCUUUAAAUUUUUUCAGGCAUCAGAAGGUAACAAAUCCUUACACUCUCAGGGCACCCAUGUCAAAUUCAGUAGCUCUCGGAAACCCCAGGGAUUUGGUUUGGGCAUGGAAGAUGGUAGAAAAGCUUUAUCUCCUCUGCUACUUAAAGAAGAGAUGGGCGAUGAAUACGCAGCACUUGGGAAUUUGCCCAGAAAUUUUCUACUGCCUGUCUCGCGGUCAAUCUAGACAUCUCCUCUUACAAGCAGAGAGGUCAAUCUAGACAUCUCCUCUUACAAACAGAGAGGUAGAUUAAUGAUUACCAAACUGGUUUUACAAUCUCUUACACUGCCCUACAUGGCUAGGCCUGGAAUCUAUUCUUUUAUAGCCUUUUGGACACAUAAGUCGAAUGUAAACUUUUCUUUCAUUUAUGGUAUUUUUAAAUAUCUACUAGAACAGAUGUUCCCUUGUUCUCUUCUUAUAAUUUUAUUGGUUAUGUUCAUGCAUUUAUUUUCUUGUUUAUUUCAUCUAUCCCUGCCCCUACUACCUGUUGGAAUUCUAACUGGAUUGUAUGAAAAUGCAUUAAUUUUGUGACAUUUUUAUGACAACAAAUCUUUCCAUCCAAGAACAUAGCUUUUAAAAACUAUCUGUUUUCUUCCUGUAGUGUUCUAGCUACUCCUGAAUGUUUAUUUUAUGCUUAUUCAUAUUAUGUACUUCCCUUUCUCUCUGUUUAUCCAUGUUACAAAGUAUUAUUUUGUGGAUUUUCUUCUACUUACCCACAUUGCUAAGUUAUUUUAUUAAGGCUAGAUGUUUAUUGUUUUUAAUGACUCAUCUAUUUUUAGAGAUACUAUCAGAUGAUCAGCUAAGAGAUAUUGUUAUGUCUUCUCUUCUCAUGUUUAUUAGGUUAGUUGAUUUCUCAUUUAACUUUCUUAUCAAUGCUUUCACUGAAACCACCAAAACAAAUUCUAAUAAAAUGUUUUAAAGUCA